AAUCAACGCUGGCGGCGUGCCUCAGACAUGCAAGUCGAACGCGAAAUUUCCCUUCGGGGAGAAAGUAGAGUGGCGCACGGGUGAGUAACACGUAGGUAAUUUGCCUUUGGGUGGGAAUAACUCAGGGAAACUUGAGCUAAUACCGCAUAAUGCAGCGGCUCGACAUCGAGACAGUUGUUAAAGCGGGGAUUGAGCAAUCCGACCUCGCGCCUAAAGAGAAGCCUGCGGCAGAUUAGCUAGUUGGUAAGGUAAUGGCUUACCAAGGCGACGAUCUGUAACCGGCCUGAGAGGGCGGUCGGUCACACUGACACUGACAUACGGGUCAGACUCCUACGGGAGGCAGC
rnacentral:rRNA from 1 species